AAUUGAGGGGGAUGCGGGAACUUUUCCUUGUAUUAAGCGGGGACGGGUGGAUUAACCUUAGAAUUCCCCUGGUAUGGGGGACAAUGUUUGAAAGGACCGUUAAUCCCCAUAGUCCUUAGGGAGAAAGCAGGGGCCUUUGGGCCUUGGCGUAUCAGGUGAGCCUAGGUCGGAUUAGCUAGUUGGUGGGGUAAUGGUUCACCAAGGGGACGAUCCGUAACUGGUCUGAGAAGAUGUUCAGUCACACUGGAACUGAGACCCGGUCCAGAUUCUUACGGGAGGCAGCAGUGGGGAAUAUUGGCCAAUGGGCGAAAGCCUGAUCCAGCCAUGCCGCGUGGUGGAAGAAGGUCUUCGGAUUGUAAAGCACUUUAAGUUGGGAGGAAGGGCAGUAAGUUAAUACCUUGCUGUUUUGACGUUACCGACAGAAUAAGCACCGGCUAACUCUGUGCCAGCAGCCGCGGUAAUACAGAGGGUGCAAGCGUUAAUCGGAAUUACUGNGCGUAAAGCGCGCGUAGGUGGUUUGUUAAGUUGGAUGUGAAAGCCCCGGGCUCAACCUGGGAACUGCAUCCAAAACUGGCAAGCUAGAGUACGGUAGAGGGUGGUGGAAUUUCCUGUGUAGCGGUGAAAUGCGUAGAUAUAGGAA
rnacentral:rRNA from 1 species